rnacentral:tRNA from 3 species
GGCGAGGUAGCAAAGCGGUUAUGCAGCGGCCUGCAAAGCCGUGUAGAUGGGUUCGACUCCCAUCCUCGCCUCCA